rnacentral:rRNA from 1 species
CCUANGGGAGGCUGCAGUAGGGAAUAUUGCACAAUGGGCGAAAGCCUGAUGCAGCAACGCCGCGUGUGCGAUGAAGGCCUUCGGGUCGUAAAGCACUUUUCUGGGAGAUGAGAAAGGACAGUAUCCCAGGAAUAAGUCUCGGCUAACUACGUGCCAGCAGCCGCGGUAAAACGUAGGAGGCAAGCGUUAUCCGGAUUCACUGGGCGUAAAGCGCGUGCAGGCGGUUUGGUAAGUUGGGCGUGAAAUCUCCCGGCUCAACUGGGAGGGGUCGUUCAAAACUACCAGACUCGAGAGUGAUAGAGGAGAAUGGAAUUCCCGGUGUAGUGGUGAAAUGCGUAGAUAUCGGGAGGAACACCAGUGGCGAAAGCGAUUCUCUGGAUCAUUUCUGACGCUCAGACGCGAAAGCUAGGGUAGCAAACGGGAUUAGAUACCCCANUANUC